rnacentral:rRNA from 1 species
GCUGGCGGAAUGCUUUACACAUGCAAGUCGAACGGCAGCACGGGGGCUUGCUCCUGGUGGCGAGUGGCGAACGGGUGAGUAACGCGUCGGAACGUACCGAGUAAUGGGGGAUAACGCAGCGAAAGCUGUGCUAAUACCGCUUACGCCCUGAGGGGGAAAGUGGGGGAUCGCAAGACCUCACGUUAUUCGAGCGGCCGACGUCUGAUUAGCUUGUUGGCGAGGUAAUGGCUCACCAAGGCGACGAUCAGUAGCGGGUCUGAGAGGAUGAUCCGUCACACUGGAACUGAGACACGGUCCAGACUCCUACGGGAGGCAGCAGUGGGGAAUUUUGGACAAUGGGGGCAACCCUGAUCCAGCCAUUCCGCGUGAGUGAAGAAGGCCUUCGGGUUGUAAAGCUCUUUCAGCCGGAACGAAACGGUAUUCCUUAAUACGGGAUGCUAAUGACGGUACCGGCAGAAGAAGCACCGGCUAACUACGUGCCAGCAGCCGCGGUAAUACGUAGGGUGCGAGCGUUAAUCGGAAUUACUGGGCGUAAAGCGUGCGCAGGCGGAUUGUUAAGCAAGAUGUGAAAUCCCCGGGCUUAACCUGGGAAUGGCAUUUUGAACUGGCAGUCUAGAGUGUGUCAGAGGGGGGUGGAAUUCCACGUGUAGCAGUGAAAUGCGUAGAUAUGUGGAGGAACACCAAUGGCGAAGGCAGCCCCCUGGGAUAACACUGACGCUCAUGUACGAAAGCGUGGGUAGCAAACAGGAUUAGAUACCCUGGUAGUCCACGCCCUAAACGAUGUCAACUGGUUGUUGGGGGAGUGAAAUCCCUUAGUAACGAAGCUAAC